CGGCGGCCCGGCCCAACCCGCCCUCACGAACCUCCGCAGCGGACGGCGUCUGGCUUGGGUCUACCCAGGGGCCGCAGGGGCGGUUCUCGGUCGACCCCGCGGGAAACCGGCUAACAAGUUACCCUGCCACAGUUUCAAUGCAUGCUGGCAAAAGACAGAAGACUCCUGAGACGAAACAGAGAACCUCAUGACUCACAGCACAGCAAGCAGCAGGAGCCUCAGGCUAUGAAACAUUUUAAAAAUCACUGGAAUCAUCUGUUCUUUAAAGGUUAGUAGAUUUAUAGAAGUCCCCUGUAAAACAAUGGGCCUGGUGUUUCUUGUUUUUUGGGGGAGGAAGGGAUAAGAAUUUGGCAAAUUUUUUUGACAAAAUUAUUUAUUAAAAUUAUUAUUCAUGGGGCCGG